GGGGAAUAUUGCACAAUGGAGGAAACUCUGAUGCAGCGACGCCGCGUGAAUGAUGAAGGCCUUCGGGUCGUAAAGUUCUGUCCUUGGGGACGAUAAUGACGGUACCCAAGGAGGAAGCCCCGGCUAACUACGUGCCAGCAGCCGCGGUAAUACGUAGGGGGCGAGCGUUGUCCGGAAUUAUUGGGCGUAAAGGGUUCGCAGGCGGCCCGUUAAGUCAGAUGUGAAAGAUCACGGCUCAACCGUGGUAAGCAUUUGAAACUGACAGGCUUGAGUUAAGGAGAGGAAAGUGGAAUUCCUAGUGUAGCGGUGAAAUGCGUAGAUAUUAGGAGGAAUACCAGUGGCGAAGGCGACUUUCUGGACUUAUACUGACGUUGAGGAACGAAAGCGUGGGGAGCAAAC
rnacentral:rRNA from 1 species